rnacentral:rRNA from 1 species
UGGGGAAUUUUGGACAAUGGGCGCAAGCCUGAUCCAGCCAUGCCGCGUGCGGGAAGAAGGCCUUCGGGUUGUAAACCGCUUUUGUCAGGGAAGAAAUCUUCUGAGUUAAUACCUCGGGAGGAUGACGGUACCUGAAGAAUAAGCACCGGCUAACUACGUGCCAGCAGCCGCGGUAAUACGUAGGGUGCAAGCGUUAAUCGGAAUUACUGGGCGUAAAGCGUGCGCAGGCGGUUUUGUAAGACAGAGGUGAAAUCCCCGGGCUCAACCUGGGAACUGCCUUUGUGACUGCAAGGCUUGUGUGCGGCAGAGGGGGAUGGAAUUCCGCGUGUAGCAGUGAAAUGCGUAGAUAUGCGGAGGAACACCGAUGGCGAAGGCAAUCCCCUGGGCCUGCACUGACGCUCAUGCACGAAAGCGUGGGGAGCAAAACAGGAUUAGAUACCCUGGUAGUCCACGCCCUAAAACGAUGUCAACUGGUUGUUGGGAAGGUUCCUUCUCAGUAACGUAGCUAACGCGUGAAGUUGACCGCCUGGGGAGUACGGCCGCAAGGUUGAAAACUCAAAUGAAUUGACGGGGUCAUAGCUGUUUCCU